UCUAGCUACAUCUUGUCUGUCAUUCUACAUCUUGUCUUGUCAAUCUAGCUCAUUGACUGUAAAAAAACCAUAUGGAUGAAGCCAUCGAUGACAUCAUCCCAUUGUGUCCUAUGAGAAUGCUUGGUGGCGUAUUUGAUCGUCAGGAAAUGUCAUUUCAGUGUCGCCAUCUUGUCAAAAAACAAAAAGUGCACCAAGGGGGGGGGGCCCCAGGACCAUAUUUGGGAAACCUUGAACUACUGACAUGACAAAACAGCAGUGUUGCAAUGUUCCCACAAGAUUGGGGAAAACGAUGUCACAGGUGAACAUUUAUUUUUGUCGAGGAUGGCGGGUUUUUGUGCUAUUUCUAGGUUGCACCGUGGCAUUUCUCUUUAAAAUCUAUUUCACUGUCAGGCAGUGAGGCAGGCUGUUGCUGAGUGAGUGAUGGGGAGGACCGGAGGGGUGUGUCUGUGUAGAGAGAGCAGUACAGCUAUUGGCUGAGUCGUGUGAGCGAGAGGAGAGAGCAGCACGCUCGCACGUCGUGACAACUUUUUACCAGUUGUAGGACUUGGCUAUUUAGAUCAUUAUGGAGACACCUAUUUCCAUAAAACAUUAAUACUCUAGAACUGACGCACAUCAAGAAAUAAUGGAGACAACGCACUGGAAAAUGACUUUGGGCGCGCAUUACAUAAAUCCACCCGUUGGUGGUUUAAACUGAAUUAUUGGGUUACUUUGAAAACGAUGUCGCGGGUUAAAAUGUAUUUGGUCGCGUUGUUGGCUAUUUCUAAGUUGCACCGUGGCCGCCAUGACAUUUCUCUUUAAAAUAUAUAUGAUUUCACUGUGACCUGUUGCUGAGUGGUGGGGAGGUGGAUGUGUGUGUGUUGAGAGCGCUAAUGGGAGACAAAACACGAACUAUUUUGGGCGUAUAACAUAAAUCCACUCGUUGGUGGUUUAAACUACAUUCUAGUGUUGACUACUAAAAGAAAACGGUAUCAAGCGAAGUGAUUUAUGUAUGUUCAGUUCCUGGUUCUCGGGGGGGGGGGGGAAUUUGAAAUGGAAGUUGUGGAAAAGUCCUCAAUGAAACUGACAUGAGGCUAAAUGUGGAGAAUGAUACAUUUGCCUCAGUUGACCAUCAAGCAGCCUAUUAAUAUAUAUAUGCCAUCGUCGGCUGCCAUUUGAUACAAUAAAUAUGUUGAAAUGACGAUAUCACUGGAGUCCUUGCAAAUCCAUUUGUGCCACUUGUGUAGCCUACCUGGAGCUGGCAAACAGAUUGAAUAGAUAGCCUGUAACUCCAGGUUGUUGUAGUCUUGUGUUAUUAUCAAUAGAUAGCCUGUUGUAGUCUUGUGUUAUUAUCAAUAGAUAGCCUGUAACUCCAGGUUGUUGUAGUCUUGUGUUAUUAUCAAUAGAUAGCCUGUAACUCCAGGUUGUUGUAGUCUUGUGUUAUUAUCAAUAGAUAGCCUGUAACUCCAGGUUGUUGUAGUCUUGUGUUAUUAUCAAUAGAUAGCCUGUAACUCCAGGUUGUUGUAGUCUUGUGUUAUUAUCAAUAGAUAGCCUGUAACUCCAGUUUGUUGUAGUCUUGUGUUAUUAUCAAUAGAUAGCCUGUAACUCCAGGUGGUUGUAGUCUUGUGUUAUUAUCAAUAGAUAGCCUGUAACUCCAGGUUGUUGUAGUCUUGUGUUAUUAUCAAUAGAUAGCCUGUAACUCCAGGUGGUUGUAGUCUUGUGUUAUUAUCAAUAGAUAGCCUGUAACUCCAGGUUGUUGUAGUCUUGUGUUAUUAUCAAUAGAUAGCCUGUAACUCCAGGUUGUUGUAGUCUUGUGUUAUUAUCAAUAGAUAGCCUGUAACUCCAGGUGGUUGUAGUCUUGUGUUAUUAUCAAUAGAUAGCCUGUAACUCCAGGUUGUUGUAGUCUUGUGUUAUUAUCAAUAGAUAGCCUGUAACUCCAGGUUGUUGUAGUCUUGUGUUAUUAUCAAUAGAUAGCCUGUAACUCCAGGUGGUUGUAGUCUUGUGUUAUUAUCAAUAGAUAGCCUGUAACUCCAGGUUGUUGUAGUCUUGUGUUAUUAUCAAUAGAUAGCCUGUAACUCCAGGUGGUUGU